AUGAUGAUGAUGAUGAUGAUGAUGCACCCGAUGCGACCCUGACUCAGUCCAAAAAGUUUUCGUUCUCGCUACCUCGGCUGAGCCGAACUCCAUUGCGCGCAAUGGGCAACGGAUGCCGGCAACCUACCUACUCAGCCGCAUCGUCUCACGAAUGACUACAAUAUUUAGUCAUUUAGAGUACGAUGAAAAACGCCGAAUUCAAGAUAGAACGACAGUAAAUACGAUUUUAAAAUGCCUUUUAUAAAGUUAACAGAUGUAGUAUGAAAGCAGAAGGAACAGGGAAGAAAAUUAGGGAAACACGAUCGAUCGAAUCGACCAUACGUAUAUUUGCUUAUUGUCGAUUACCGAAGGGUCAACUCACAGCCUAUAGCAUUGAGAAAAUCUUUUAUUUUUGUCAAUUAUUUUUGUAAAUAAUGAAAUAGGAAAAUGUGCACACAAAGCUUUGUGGAUUUGUUGGUAUGGAAAGGUUGCUUCGGUGACGAUGUACCGUAUAGCGAAUUAAUGCCAGGGCGUCAUUCCCUGUCGAUUUGUUUUCCUUUUCGAAAACCCGACUAGUAAAGGUCGAAUCAAGGAUCGAACGACAGAAUAUAUGAUUUUUAAUUCUUUUUAAAAAUGCAGCAGACGUUUUACAAAAGCAGAAUUAAUCAGCAAAAGGAUUAAACACAUCGGCAAACACGAAAUUGACAGAAUUCCUAUACGUGCUUGCAUCGUGUAACGAAGGGUCAACAACAAAGGCUAUAGCACUGGGAGAAGUGCUGAUAUUUUUAAUAAAGAGAAAAAAAAAUGUCUAAAGAGCUUUGUGGAGUUUUUUAAUAUGUGAAAGUCUGUGUUGUUUUUAUUUUGAUGAGGAGUAGAGGUGGGGGGACGUCAGUCAGUGUCAUUUGAUUUCCUUUUCCAAAGAGUUCCAAAACACGUCCAGAAUGCUUUCUAAAAAGUAUAGAGGCGGAUCACAAAAGCAGAAGGAAACGUGGGGAAAUUAUAUAUUGUAUGCACUAUAAUAUUAUAUUGUUAGCCUUAGUCUUUUAAGGUUCGAUUUUCUUCUGGUACAAAGUUAGGAAGUAUUUUUUCUGUAAGGGAGGAGUCAUUUCGAUGUUCUCUCCUUAAAACAAAAGAAAAAGAAACAAAACCAAAAACUGGUUAUUUAGAAAAGUAAAAUUAAGAAAUAAAAUCAUACAAAUAGAUAAAACAUGUAUAAUAUCACCAAGAAGAAUUAAUGUCAAAGCUAAUGAAAACGAGAACCCCACUAAUACGUGUCUCCCUGUUGGGAGCUCUUCCAUUAGUCUCGGUGCGUCCACGUGUGUGUACUCGAUUAUUAACUUCGUCAUAAGCAGUUGCUUUCUUACUUUGUAGGUAUUUUUUUUUAAUGCUUAUGUAUUGUCAGAGAGCAGUUUCGAUUCCAGCAAUGUUACAUCAGCUUGAUGGAAAUGCAGUUCGUUCUUAGAACUGUUGUCAUUAAGAUUGUAUAUCUCCCACAUGUACAUAGAUCAGCGUUCAUAACGUCUGUAUUGAGUAUCGUACAUGAAAUAGGAAUAGUAAGCGUUUAUAAAGAGUUGAUAGCUAUACAUUAUAACUGAAAUUAAUGUGGUGGUCAUGCUACAAUACAUUUCAUAAAUAAGCAAAUGUGAUUUGUAUUAGGCCGUGUCUUGCCACUCAAAUUGUUUACUUUGUGGUAUUGAUCUCGUUUUUCUCUCUUUUACUAUUUUAUGAAGACGCUUGCAGUGAAUCAACUAUGCCACGGCCAAGAAAGUGGUAUCCAGGUGGAUAUAUUUCCUAUAUGGAUAAACGCGGGCAUGUUCGUCAGCGUAGGGUACGAUUUUCAUCGCAGGCUGUUAGGGCUUGUACGGAGGAAAAUAGAACUCUUCAACAGGGGCAAAGUGGACGUUUAAGCACCCAUCAACGGGAGGAAUGUGCCACCUUCCAGGAUAUUCUUCUAGAUAGCAAUUCAUCAGAUGUAGCUGGAGUCAGCAAUCACAAGAAGAAAAAAGUGUCUGAGGCUGAGGGCUGGAAAGAUCUGCGAGCAGGUCUUGUUCGUGUCCACAUUGAAGGAUUCAGUCCUGCCACAAAAAAGUGCAGCUUCUGUGGCUGUACACAGGUCCAGAGAUUAUCUGGUGUCCUGACUGUGGACCUAGAAGCCUUUAUUGCAAGGCUUGUGAUGAGAAGAUCCAUUGUUUGGUGCUGUAUCAUCAGACAUACAGUUGGAAAGAAGAUGCAUCAUUGUUUGCACCUGUGUUAAGAGAAACAACCAUUUUGUCUGAGCACCAGUGUGACAAGCUCUACUACCGUCAGAUUACAGUUUUUGAUGCACAAGGCAGAGAUCACACAAUCAAAAUGCAGUUUUGUGAGUGUGAGCCGGAAGCUGUAACGUUAGUUAGAAUGGGUUAUGGCCAUCAACUCCGAAGAAGCCAGAGACAGCAUUCUGCAUGAAACUAAUGGAGCUAUGCAGAAUGCUACAACUAGAAGGGCAAAUGUCUCUGCAGAAAUUUUGUAAUGCAUUGCAGCGGAGGACAACAUUUCUGCACAGUCACAGCAGGGACUACAGAAACCUGUAUAAGGCAC